UGGUUGGAAGAACAGUCCCAGAUGAUUCGUACAAAGUCCGACCAUAGGAGGUUUUGUAUGUAUUAUCUGGAAUUGUGCACAACC
rnacentral:pre_miRNA from 1 species